GUUUGAGAGCCGUUGCGGGUACCGGUGACUGCGGUGUGGAAGCCUGCGACUCCGCCCUCCUCUGACCCUGCACCUCGGGGGACAAGGAGAAGUCCCCAGCCAAUGCCUAUUAAGCGGACAGUACUGGCCCCUGUCCGCAUCAGCUGAGCUCCUUGGUCCUACGAAUAGCAGUUAGCCCCUCUUCUCCCCAGUCACCAUGGAGGAGGGGACCUUUAUGCUAGCCAUCCACACUCUAGUGCGCCUGCCAGACGCGACCCUCCUCUCCUCUGUACCGGAAAAACAAACAAAAAAUAACACUCAUGGGAAAACCUGAUUCAAAAUUUCGAUAACCAUUUUUCUUUGAAAUACUAUUCUGUUGCAUCACUGCUCAAAAGCUUGAAAGGACACAAUCCAACAAGGCAGGCUUGGGGUCUGGAAGACACCCUUCAUGAACGCAGAAAACACUGGUGCAGUCAGCUGGAGAAGGGGGACAGGAAAAUGGUUUAAUUGGGUACUUUCACCACUCCGGCCCCACUGUAGCAACCCACUGCCUUCAGCUAAGCCCCACAGUGGUUCUCAACCUUCUGAAUGCUGCAACCCUUUAAUACAUGUAUUAACCCCUAUAUUAUGGUGACACCCCCCAUUAAAUUAUUCUUGUUGCU
ensembl:lncRNA